rnacentral:rRNA from 1 species
CCUACGGGUGGCAGCAGUGAGGAAUAUUGGUCAAUGGUCGGGAGACUGAACCAGCCAAGCCGCGUGAGGGAUGAAGGUACAGAGUAUCGUAAACCUCUUUUGUCAGGGAACAAAGGCGGGGACGUGUCCCCGGAUGAGUGUACCUGAAGAAAAAGCAUCGGCUAACUCCGUGCCAGCAGCCGCGGUAAUACGGAGGAUGCGAGCGUUAAUCGGAAUUACUGGGCGGAAAGCGGUCGUAGGCGGGAUGUCAAGUCAAGGGUGAAAUCCCCGCGCUCAACGUGGGACCUGCCGUGGAAACUGGCAAACUGGAGUGUGAUAGAGGAUAGUGGAAUUCCAGGUGUAGGAGUGAAAUCCGUAGAUAUCUGGAGGAACAUCAGUGGCGAAGGCAACUAACUGGAACAUAACUGACGCUGAGGAGCGAAAGCGUGGGUAGCAAACAGGAUUAGAUACCCUAGUAGUC